UACGUAGGGGCCUAGCGUUGUCCGGAUUUAUUGGGCGUAAAGAGCUCGUAGGCGGCUUGGUAAGUCAGGUGUGAAAUCUCCACGCUCAACGUGGAGGGGCCACCCGAAACUGCCAUGGCUUGAGUCCGGUAGGGGAGUGUGGAAUUCCCGGUGUAGCGGUGAAAUGCGCAGAUAUCGGGAGGAACACCCGUAGCGAAGGCGGCACUCUGGGCCGGUACUGACGCUGAGGAGCGAAAGCGUGGGGAGCAAACAGG
rnacentral:rRNA from 1 species